rnacentral:rRNA from 1 species
CGUUGUCCGGAAUUUCCGGGCGUAAAUCAGAAUUACGUAUUUUGUUACAUGCGAUGUGAAUUAUUGAGGCUCUAUAUCAAGCCUGCAUUCAAUACCGGCAAACUGCAUUUUGGUAGGGGAGACUGGAAUUCCUGGUGUAGCGAUGGAAUGCGCAGAUAUCAGGAGGAACACCAAUGGCGAAGGCAGGUCUCUGGGCCAAUACUGACACUGAGGAGCGAAAGUCUGGGGACCGAACAGGAUUAGAUACCCUGGUACUCCAAACCGUAAACGGUGGGCACUAGUUGUGGGAACCUUCCACGGUUUCUGCGACGCAACUAACGCAUUAAGUGCCCCGCCUGGGGAGUACGAUCGCAAGAUUAAAACUC